AAAUUGAAGAGUUUGAUCAUGGCUCAGAUUGAACGCUGGCGGCAGGCCUAACACAUGCAAGUCGAACGGUAACAGGAAGCAGCUUGCUGCUUCGCUGACGAGUGGCGGACGGGUGAGUAAUGUCUGGGAAACUGCCUGAUGGAGGGGGAUAACUACUGGAAACGGUAGCUAAUACCGCAUAACGUCGCAAGACCAAAGAGGGGGACCUUCGGGCCUCUUGCCAUCGGAUGUGCCCAGAUGGGAUUAGCUUGUUGGUGGGGUAACGGCUCACCAAGGCGACGAUCCCUAGCUGGUCUGAGAGGAUGACCAGCCACACUGGAACUGAGACACGGUCCAGACUCCUACGGGAGGCAGCAGUGGGGAAUAUUGCACAAUGGGCGCAAGCCUGAUGCAGCCAUGCCGCGUGUAUGAAGAAGGCCUUCGGGUUGUAAAGUACUUUCAGCGGGGAGGAAGGGAGUAAAGUUAAUACCUUUGCUCAUUGACGUUACCCGCAGAAGAAGCACCGGCUAACUCCGUGCCAGCAGCCGCGGUAAUACGGAGGGUGCAAGCGUUAAUCGGAAUUACUGGGCGUAAAGCGCACGCAGGCGGUUUGUUAAGUCAGAUGUGAAAUCCCCGGGCUCAACCUGGGAACUGCAUCUGAUACUGGCAAGCUUGA
rnacentral:rRNA from 1 species